AUUGAACGCUGGCGGCAGGCCUAACACAUGCAAGUCGAACGAGUGGCGGACGGGUGAGUAAUGUAUGGGAAUCUGCCUGAUAGAGGGGGAUAACUACUGGAAACGGUAGCUAAUACCGCAUACUAUCGGAUGUACCCAUAUGGGAUUAGCUAGUAGGUGGGGUAAAGGCUCACCUAGGCGACGAUCCCUAGCUGGUCUGAGAGGAUGAUCAGCCACACUGGAACUGAGACACGGUCCAGACUCCUACGGGAGGUAGCAGUGGGGAAUAUUGCACAAUGGGCGCAAGCCUGAUGCAGCCAUGCCGCGUGUAUGAAGAAGGCCUUAGGGUUGUAAAGUACUUUCAGCGGGGAGGCGUUACCCGCAGAAGAAGCACCGGCUAACUCCGUGCCAGCAGCCGCGGUAAUAC
rnacentral:rRNA from 1 species